CACGUAGGGGGCGAGCGUUGUCCGGAUUUAUUGGGCGUAAAGAGCUCGUAGGCGGUUUCGUAAGUCGGAUGGGAAAACUCCAGGCUCAACUUGGAGACGCCAUUCGAUACUGGAUGGCUUGAAUCCGGGAGAGGGAUGCAGAAUUCCAGGUGUAGCGGUGAAAUGCGUAGAUAUCUGGAGGAAUACCGGUGGCGAAGGCGGCAUCCUGGACCGGCAUUGACGCUGAGGAGCGAAAGCUAGGGGAGCAAACGGG
rnacentral:rRNA from 1 species